rnacentral:rRNA from 1 species
GAUGAACGCUGGCGGCGUGCCUAAUACAUGCAAGUCGAGCGAACGGACGAGAAGCUUGCUUUUCUGAUGUUAGCGGCGGACGGGUGAGUAACACGUGGAUAACCUACCUAUAAGACUGGGAUAACUUCGGGAAACCGGAGCUAAUACCGGAUAAUAUUUUGAACCGCAUGGUUCAAAAGUGAAAGACGGUCUUGCUGUCACUUAUAGAUGGAUCCGCGCUGCAUUAGCUAGUUGGUAAGGUAACGGCUUACCAAGGCAACGAUGCAUAGCCGACCUGAGAGGGUGAUCGGCCACACUGGAACUGAGACACGGUCCAGACUCCUACGGGAGGCAGCAGUAGGGAAUCUUCCGCAAUGGGCGAAAGCCUGACGGAUCAACGCCGCGUGAGUGAUGAAGGUCUUCGGAUCGUAAAACUCUGUUAUUAGGGAAGAACAUAUGUGUAAGUAACUGUGCACAUCUUGACGGUACCUAAUCAGAAAGCCACGGCUAACUACGUG